GUGCCUAUAGCUCAGUCAGGAAGAGCGGCAUCUGGUCAGGACACACGACUUUUCCAGUCAACGAAAGAUCAGAUUUGCGGCCGCAGGUUCGAAUCCUGCUAGGCACG
rnacentral:tRNA from 1 species